rnacentral:rRNA from 1 species
UAUUUUGGACUAUGGGGGACACCCUGAUACCGCCACCGCGUGAGUGUUGUGAGGGCCCUCUGGUUAUAGCGCACUUUUGGCAGAAGAAAAACGGUAUCUCUUAAUACGCGAUACUACUGACGGUCUCUGCAGUAUAAGCCCCGACUCACUACGUGCCAGCAGCCGCGGUAAUACGUAGGGGGCAAGCGUUAUUCGGAAUUACUGGGCGUAAAGGGUGCGUAGGCGGCUCUGAAAGAAAGAUGUGAAAGACCAGGGCUCAACCGUGGAGUUGCAUUUUUAACUGCAGGGCUAGAGUAUGGCAGAGGGUGGUAGAAUUCCAAGUGUAGCAGUGAAAUGCGUAGAUAUGUGGAGGAAUACCGGUGGCGAAGGCAGCUCCCUGGAAGAAUACUGACGCUCAGACACGAAAGCGUGGGGAGCAAACA